GACAGAGGUGCCGAGCGUUAGGCGGAAUCACUGGGCUUAAAGCGUGUGUAGGCGGGCGGGCAAGUACCUUGUGAAAUCCCACGGCUCAACCGUUGAACGGCUGGGUAUACUGCCUGUCUUGAGCCAACUAGGGGCGAGCGGAACAGACGGUGGGGCGGUGAAAUGCGUAGAUAUUGGGAAGAACACCGGUGGCGAAGGCGGCGACCUGGUCCUUUACUGACGCUGAGGCGCGAAAGCGUGGGGAGCAAACAGG
rnacentral:rRNA from 1 species